AAGAAGAGGAAUGGCGCCGUAAGAACUGGAUCGAGCGAGGAUGGGCCCCCUGGGAGGAAAUUCUCACUCCCGAAGCCGACUUCGCCCGCAAGUCCCUCAAUGAAGGCGAAGAGGUUCCGCUCCAGUCGCCGGAAGCCAUCGAAGCUUUCAGAAUGCUUUCUCCAAAGUACCGACUCAAAAAGAUUAAAGAAAUGGGAUUGACCGAAGACGAGUGGUACAGGAAGCAGUUCGAGAUCAAGGGGGAGAUUCCGGAAAAGCUCGAGACGAUUUGGGCGGGGCCUUUGGUUUUGAGGCACGUGCCCCCUAGAGAUUGGCCUCCCAGAGGUUGGGAGGUCGAUAGGAAGGAGCUGGAGUUUAUAAGGGAAGCGCACAAGUUGCUGUCCGUCAGAGUGGUGGUGGAGGAAUUGGACAGUAUGGAAACUACUGAUACUGAAGGGAUGUGUUUGGAUAGGUAUAAGAUGUUUCUGAAGCAAUACAAUGAAUGGGUUGCUGCAAAUAAGGAUAGAUUAGAAGAGGAAUCUUAUAAGCAAGACCAAGAUUAUUAUCCUGGUAGAAGGAAAAGAGGAAAAGACUACAAAGAGGGCAUGUACGAACUUCCAUUUUAUUACCCAGGGCAGAUUUGUGCGGGAAUAGUGACCACUAUACAUCUAUAUCAAGGAGCCUUUGUUGAUAUCGGAGGUGUACAUGAUGGGUGGGUUCCUAUCAGAGGAAAUGAUUGGUAUUGGAUCCGCCAUCACAUAAAAGUUGGCAUGCACGUUUUUGUAGAAAUUCUGGCAAAGCGAGAUCCGUACCGUUUUCGAUUCCCUAUUGAAAUGCGUUUUGUAUGGCCUAACAUAGAUCACCUUAUCUUCAACAGAUUUGAAUUUCCC
rnacentral:misc_RNA from 1 species